CAAAGGGAGGCAACUCAAACCAGAGACAGAGGGGUAACUCUAGCCUGUUUCACAAAGAGAGGUAACUUAAACUCUCGGUCAGUUACCAUAGUAACAGACUCUCUGACUCUAACCUGGUCGGGACCAGGUUUUUCUCAGUAAACCUCGAGUUUCUCUCAGUCUCCGCCCUCUUUCAGCCACACACGCCAUUUCAUUUCCUCAUUCAUUCAGUCAGCUGGCGAGUUUUGGCGAAGUCUAGUUCUGCCGUGUGUCAAAAUGACGUCCUUUUAUGAACAAUCCAGUGGAUGAAGGAGCAGCAUUACUGCACAGAGAAUUAAAUAUUCGUCGGGAGAUUGUUAUCAGACCGCGCAUAGAUGUUUUGGCAUUUCCGGACAGUUAUCUUCUUGAACGGUACCGUUUCACCUCACAAUCCAUAACCUACAUCCACAACCUACUCCGUCCUUACAUUUACAACUUUACCAACCGCAGUCAUGCUCUAACGUUCCAGCAGAUGUUGUGUGUUGUGCUGCGGUUCUUUGCAAAUGGGAGUUUUUUAUAUAAUGUCGGAGAUGCAGAGCACUUCAGUAAAGCAACUGUAUGCAGGAUGGUCAGAAAAGUGUGUCUGGCCCUGAAACGACUUUUACCAUCUUUGUGGUUUUCCCUGGACAUGAACCUGUCAGAGCCAUUAAGGAGGAGUUCCACAGGAUUGCAGGUGAAUGAUGUAGAGAUCUGUUAAAUUAAUUUUAAAUCAUAUCCAGUUAAUGACAUUGUGCUGCAACCUCAGACUGUGAUUAGUAAAUUUAAUUUCUUUUAGGAUUUCUCAGUGUGAUUGGCUGCAUUGAUGGCACACACAUCCCCAUCAAAGCUCCCAAAUAUAAUGAAGCUGAUUAUGUGAAUAGGAAGUCUAUUUACAGCAUUAAUGUGCAGAUCAUAUGUGAUGCUGCAUACAUCAUUUCUAAUGUGGAGGCCAAGUGGCCUGGGUCUGUUCAUGACUCGAGGAUUUAUCAUGAGUCUAACCUGAGCAACAGACUGCAGCGUGGAGAGUUUGAUGGCCUUCUGCUGGGUGACAGGGGUUACCAUGCCAACCUAGUCUGAUGACCCCAUACCCUGACCCUGAACCAGACCCCCAACAGAACUUCAACCGGGCUCACUGCAGGAUGAGAGCCGGGGUGGAGAUGACCAUAGACCUGCUGAAAGCCUGUUUCCAGUGUCUACGUCACCUCAGGGUGACUCCUGAGAGGCCUGUGAUAUUAUUGUGGCAUGUGUUGUUCUUCAUAAUAUUACCACUAUUAGAGGAGAGCAACACUCUGCCCUACAAACUGAAGACCCAGAUGAUGAGCUCAUCCACCUGCCAGCUAUCCAGGAUGGCAGAGCAGUCAGAGACACCAUAUGCAAUAAUCACUGCAGAGUUUAAGUCACCAUCAUCACCACCACACCAAAUAAAGACAUGAUACACAUUUCAUUUGGUCUUCUUUAUUUCCUACAAAUAAAAGAGCUAGUUUAGUUAAUGUUCCAGUAGUUCACAUAAUUCACCUGUGACCUGCACCCACCUCUAACUUGUGCUCCAGUAUUUCAAUUUCCAGAUCUGCCUUCUUAAUCUGGUGGUCCAAGUACUGCAUUUCUUUAUCUGUUUUUUGUAUUUUUCUCAGCAAGUGGAUUUUGUAUAUUUGUUUUACUGGUAACUGGGAAUACAUAAAGGACAUUAAAUUAUACAGUUGCACAUGAA